rnacentral:rRNA from 1 species
AGUCGAACGAGAACGGUUCCUUCGGGGACUUAGUAAAGUGGCGCACGGGUGAGUAACGCGUAGAUAACCUGUCCAGGUGNAUGGGAUAGCCCUUCGAAAGGGGGAUUAAUACCGUAUACGUUAAUCAUUCAUAAGGGUGAUUAAGAAAGGUGGCCUCUAUUUAUAAGCUAUCGCAUUUGGAGGGGUCUGCGUACCAUUAGUUUGUUGGUGGGGUAAUGGCCUACCAAGACUUCGAUGGUUAGCGGGUCUGAGAGGAUGAUCCGUCACACUGGCACUGAAACACGGGCCAGACUCCUACGGGAGGCAGCAGUGAGGAAUAUUGCGCAAUGGGGGAAACCCUGACGCAGCGACGCCGCGUGGGUGAGGAAGGCUUUCGGGUCGUAAAGCCCUGUCAGGUGGGAAGAAGUGUGUAGUGGUUAAUACCCAUUGCAUUUGACGGUACCACCAAAGGAAGCACCGGCUAACUCCGUGCCAGCAGCCGCGGUAAUACGGAGGGUGCAAACGUUGUUCGGAAUCACUGGGCGUAAAGGGCGCGCAGGCGGUUUGAUUAGUCAGAUGUGAAAGCCCACGGCUUAACCGUGGAAGUGCAUUUGAAACUGUCAGACUUGAGUACCAGAGGGGGUAGUGGAAUUCCCGGUGUAGAGGUGAAAUUCGUAGAUAUCGGGAGGAAUACCGGUGGCGAAGGCGACUACCUGGCUGGAUACUGACGCUGAGGCGCGAAAGCGUGGGGAGCAAACAGGAUUAGAUACCCUGGUAGUCCACGCCGUAAACGAUGUCAACUAGGUGUAGGGGGUGUUGAUCCCCUCUGUGCCGGAGCUAACGCAUUAAGUUGACCGCCUGGGGAGUACGGUCGCAAGAUUAAAACUCAAAGGAAUAGACGGGGACCCGCACAAGCGGUGGAGCAUGUGGUUUAAUUCGACGAUACGCGAAGAACCUUACCUGGACUUGACAUCCUAUAAAUGAUUUAGAGAUAAGUUAGUGCUAGUUUACUAGAAUAUAGUGACAGGUGCUGCACGGCUGUCGUCAGCUCGUGUCGUGAGAUGUUGGGUUAAGUCCCGCAACGAGCGCAACCCUCGUCGUUAGUUGCUAACAGUUCGGCUGAGCACUCUAACGAGACUGCCUUCGUAAGGAGGAGGAAGGUGAGGACGACGUCAAGUCAUCAUGGCCCUUAUGUCCAGGGCUACACACGUGCUACAAUGGUUGGGACAAUGAGACGCAAUACCGCGAGGUGGAGCAAAUCUAUAAACCCAAUCUCAGUUCGGAUAGCACUCUGCAACUCGAGUGCUUGAAGCUGGAAUCGCUAGUAAUNGUAGAUCAGCAAUGCUACGGUGAAUACGUUCCCGGGUCUUGUACUCACCGCCCGUCACACCAUGGGAAUUUAGUUCACCCGAAGUCGGAAUGCC